CUACGACAUUCUUAUUAGCUUCAAAGGUUAUUACCACAAAACAACCUGUCUCUCUAGCGAUCCAUAAACUACACCUUAAUGAGAUCUGCUGAUGGAAAGAAACUGAGGUCAAAAACAGCAGCUAAUGGGAGUAGUAGGAUUUCCUUGGAGAGGUUCUUUGGCUGGUGUUAUGACUAGAACGUGAGCUUUAUACAAAAUCAAGAUGCUGUGCAGUUGAAGAAAAGUGGUUACUUUGACCCAACACUCCAGUUUGUUUUUUGGUCAGCCAUAUUGGGAGCAUAUUCUCUGUGGGUCUAUCAUGUUUUAAUCUAAUUUAGUCUAAUAAAUGCCAGGUUUCCCUUCGUGGCAGAUUUUGUGCACAUGGGCUUGAAAUCCAUUA